rnacentral:rRNA from 1 species
GAUGAACGCUGGCGGCGUGCCUAAUACAUGCAAGUCGAGCGAACAGACGAGGAUCUUGCUCCUCUGACGUUAGCGGCGGACGUGUGAGUAACACGUGGAUAACCUACCUAUAAGACUGGGAUAACUUCGGGAAACCGGCGCUAAUACCGUAUAAUAUAUUGAACCGCAUGGUUCAAUAGUGAAAGACGGUUUUGCUGUCACUUAUCGAUGGAUCCGCGCCGCAUUAGCUAGUUGGUAAGGUAACGGCUUACCAAGGCGACGAUGCGUAGCCGACCUGAGAGGGUGAUCGGCCACACUGGAACUGAGACACGGUCCAGACUCCUACGGGAGGCAGCAGUAGGGAAUAUUCCGCAAUGGGCGAAAGCCUGACGGAGCAACGCCGCGUGAGUGAUGAAGGUCUUCGGAUCGGAAAACUCUGUUAUUAGGGAAGAACAAAUGUGUAAGUAACUAUGCACGUAUUGACGGUACCUAAUCAGAAAGCAACGGCUAACUACGUG